rnacentral:lncRNA from 1 species
AUUUCUUAUGUACUACUUGAGUGGGACUAACCCAUUUACUAUCGGAUAUGGGAUAGAUAAUUCCAGCAUCUAACCACUUUACCACCUCUUUCUUUACUACUUCACGCAUGUUUGGGUUCAAUCUCCUCUGCAUAUCUCGAUGGGGUUUGGCAUUUGCCUCAAAAUGAAUAUGGUGCAUGCAAAUAGAGGGGUCAAUUCCUUUUAAAUCGGCAAUGGACCAACCGAUAGCCUCUUUGUGUUCCUUCAGAAUACCAACCAAUUAUGCUUCUUGAUUAGGGGUCAAGUCUGAUGCAAUGAUUGCCGGGAGGAUGUCAUUGGGUCCUAAAAAUACAUACUUGAGCAUAGCAGGAAGGGGUUUCAAUUCUAACGUAGGUGGUGAUUCUAAAGAUGGGACUAUUGGUAUACUGGCUAAUG